CAACAACGGCAGCACGCUGUCGCUAGCUUAGCUUAGCGUAGUACAUGGAAUCCUAUGUUGCCGGUUAGCAUGUCGUGAGUAAAAGUGACCCAACAACAACAAAAACAAAACCUAAUUACUUCUUUGCACUAUAACAA